UAUCCCCUGCAAUGCGCGUGAUUGACAUUCGUUUUUUGAGCCAACACCUUGGAACCGGGGCCUUUCCUUGUUAGCGGUGUGCCUUCUGCCGAUAACCUGCAAAAGCGGGGGCAGAUCGCCUGAAGCAACAAUAGUAGGCGCCCACUUUUUCAACCGGUUCAAAAAGGUCGUCAACACGGCAUAGGCGGGGGUUUU
rnacentral:other from 1 species